rfam:Streptomyces sparsogenes DSM 40356 contig00163, whole genome shotgun sequence.
CCGGCGGGCGCUCCUGCCCGUCGGUGACUGACACCGGUACCUCAUACGGCCGGUGCAG